AUUUGUGCAUGGGUUAUAGGAAGAAAAGAGAAGAAAGGGUUAUUCUCAUAAUCUCUAGCGUAGAGAUCAAUAUCCUCCUAUGUUCUUCUUCUUCUCUAAGAGUGUCUUGAGAGAAAAGAAAUUUUUCAACCAUCAAGAUGUGAUCUCUGUGAGAGAACUAGUACUCCGGUGAGAUCAAUAAGUUUCUGAUCAAAUCAGAGUCUCGUGUAGAUACCCGUAG
rnacentral:lncRNA from 1 species